UACGUAGGUGACAAGCGUUGUCCGGAUUUACUGGGCGUAAAGAGCGCGCAGGCGGUCGUUCAAGUCGAGUGUGAAAGCCCCCGGCUCAACUGGGGAGGGUCACUCGAUACUGAUCGACUCGAAGGCAGGAGAGGGUAGUGGAAUUCCCGGUGUAGUGGUGAAAUGCGUAGAUAUCGGGAGGAACACCAGUGGCGAAGGCGACUACCUGGCCUGUUCUUGACGCUGAGGCGCGAAGGUCAGGGGAGCAAACGGG
rnacentral:rRNA from 1 species